AGUAAAUAGAUACCCUGGUAGUCCACGCCGUAAACGAUGUCGACUUGGAGGUUGUGCCCUUGAGGCGUGGCUUCCGGAGCUAAACGCGUUAAGUCGACCGCCUGGGGAGUACGGCCGCAAGGUUAAAACUCAAAUGAAUUGACGGGGGCCCGCACAAGCGGUGGAGCAUGUGGUUUAAUUCGAUGCAACGCGAAGAACCUUACCUACUCUUGACAUCCAGAGAACUUAGCAGAGAUGCUUUGGUGCCUUCGGGAACUCUGAGACAGGUGCUGCACGGCUGUCGUCAGCUCGUGUUGUGAAAUGUUGGGUUAAGUCCCGCAACGAGCGCAACCCUUAUCCUUUGUUGCCAGCGGUUAGGCCGGGAACUCAAAGGAGACUGCCAGUGAUAAACUGGAGGAAGGUGGGGAUGACGUCAAGUCAUCGUGGCCCUUACGAGUAGGGCUACACACGUGCUACAAUGGCGCAUACAAAGAGAAGCGACCUCGCGAGAGCAAGCGGACCUCAUAAAGUGCGUCGUAGUCCGGAUUGGAGUCUGC
rnacentral:rRNA from 1 species